rnacentral:rRNA from 1 species
GACAGAGGAUGCAAGAGUUAUCCGGAAUGAUUGGGCGUAAAGCGUCUGUAGGUGGCUUUUUAAGUCCGCCGUCAAAUCCCAGGGCUCAACCCUGGACAGGCGGUGGAAACUACCAAGCUGGAGUACGGUAGGGGCAGAGGGAAUUCUCGGUGUAGUGGUGAAAUACGUAGAUAUCGAGAAGAACACCAAUAGCGAAAGCACUCUGCUGGGCCGAAACUGACAUUGAAGAGAACGAAAGGCUGAGGGAAGG